AGGACGAACGCUGGCGGCGUGCUUAACACAUGCAAGUCGAGCGGAAAGGCCCUUCGGGGUACUCGAGCGGCGAACGGGUGAGUAACACGUGAGUAAUCUGCCCCUAGCUCUGGGAUAGCUCCGGGAAAACCGGGAUUAAUACCAGAUACGACCACUUUAGACAUCUUCUGUGGUGGAAAGAACUUCGGCUAGGGAUGAACUCGCGGCCUAUCAGCUUGUUGGUGAGGUAACGGCUCACCAAGGCGACGACGGGUAGCCGGCCUGAGAGGGCGACCGGCCACACUGGGACUGAGACACGGCCCAGACUCCUACGGGAGGCAGCAGUGGGGAAUAUUGCGCAAUGGGCGAAAGCCUGACGCAGCGACGCCGCGUGGGGAUGAAGGCCUUCGGGUUGUAACCCUUUCAGCAGGGACGAAGCGAAGUGACGGUACCUGCAGAAGAAGCGCCGGCUAACUACGUGCCAGCAGCCGC
rnacentral:rRNA from 1 species